AUGAGCACUAAUAGCUUAUCGCUGAUUGAUAUGCCGCUUGCGUGGUCUGUCAAUGCCAAUGCUUCUAUCCUCGUGGUGAUGGAGGAUGACAGUUUGGGGUUUGCACAUGUCGACGGGUUAAUCCUCAAUCUGUGGUCAAGGCACAUGGGUUCUGACGGAGUUGCGUCAUGGACUCAGCGUGCAGUCAUGGAUAUCAAGGACAUUCUUCCCAUUCGAAAUCCAAAUAAAAGACUUAGGCUGAUUGGAUCUGUGGAAGGCACCGAUAUCAUUUUCGUGACCACAGAUCUUGGCAUCUACAAGAUUAAUCUCAAGUCACUACAGUGGAACAAGGUAUGGGAGAGAAAAAAGUUUCAAGCUUUCAUCCCGUACAUGAGUUUCUACAAUCCACAAGGUUUGCGGAAUGAUGGCGAUAAGAAGAAUCUGCUGGAGGGAUCAUCAGCGGAGGUGCGAGCUCAGGCUGGGGAAGAUGAUCUUGAAUCUGAAUCGGACGAAGAUCUUGAAUCUGAAUCUGAAGAAGAUCUUGAAUCUGAAUCUUACGAAGAUCUUGAAUAUGAAUCUGAAGAAGAUCUUGAAUCUGAAUCGGAAGAAGCUGAAAUGUUUCUACAAUCCACAAGAAAGGGUGACCCCCAGUGA
rnacentral:rRNA from 1 species